UUAGAGUUUGAUCCUGGCUCAGAUUGAACGCUGGCGGCAGGCCUAACACAUGCAAGUCGGGCGGUAACAGGGAGAAGCUUGCUUCUCUGCUGACGAGCGGCGGACGGGUGAGUAAUGUAUGGGGAUCUGCCUGAUGGCGGGGGAUAACUACUGGAAACGGUAGCUAAUACCGCAUAAUGUCUUCGGACCAAAGCGGGGGACCUCCGGGCCUCGCGCCAUCAGAUGAACCCAUAUGGGAUUAGCUAGUAGGUGAGGUAACGGCUUACCUAGGCGACGAUCCCUAGCUGGUCUGAGAGGAUGAUCAGCCACACUGGGACUGAGACACGGCCCAGACUCCUACGGGAGGCAGCAGUGGGGAAUAUUGCACAAUGGGCGCAAGCCUGAUGCAGCCAUGCCGCGUGUAUGAAGAAGGCCUUCGGGUUGUAAAGUACUUUCAGUCGGGAGGAAGGUGUCAAGGUUAAUAACCUUGGCAAUUGACGUUACCGACAGAAGA
rnacentral:rRNA from 1 species